rnacentral:rRNA from 1 species
AGUGAACGCUGGCGGUAGGCCUAACACAUGCAAGUCGAACGGCAGCACAGUAAGAGCUUGCUCUUACGGGUGGCGAGUGGCGGACGGGUGAGGGAUACAUCGGAAUCUACUUUUUCGUGGGGGAUAACGUAGGGAAACUUACGCUAAUACCGCAUACGACCUACGGGUGAAAGCAGGGGAUCUUCGGACCUUGCGCGAUUGAAUGAGCCGAUGUCGGAUUAGCUAGUUGGCGGGGUAAAGGCCCACCAAGGCGACGAUCCGUAGCUGGUCUGAGAGGAUGAUCAGCCACACUGGAACUGAGGCACGGUCCAGACUCCUACGGGAGGCAGCAGUGGGGAAUAUUGGACAAUGGGCGCAAGCCUGAUCCAGCCAUACCGCGUGGGUGAAGAAGGCCUUCGGGUUGUAAAGCCCUUUUGUUGGGAAAGAAAAGCAGCAGGUUAAUACCCCGCUGUUCUGACGGUACCCAAAGAAUAAGCACCGGCUAACUUCGUG